UACGUAGGGGGCUAGCGUUGUCCGGAAUUAUUGGGCGUAAAGCGCGCGUAGGCGGCUACCUAAGUCGGAUGUGAAAGCCCCUGGCUUAACCGGGGAAGUGCACCCGAAACUGGGUAGCUAGAGUGCAAAAGAGGGUCGCGGAAUUCCCAGUGUAGAGGUGAAAUUCGUAGAUAUUGGGAGGAACACCGGUGGCGAAGGCGGCGACCUGGGUUGACACUGACGCUGAGGCGCGAAAGCGUGGGGAGCAAACAGG
rnacentral:rRNA from 1 species